UACGUAGGGUGCAAGCGUUGCCCGGAUUUAUUGGGCGUAAAGGGCGCGUAGGCGGCUCUGCACGUUCGUUGUGAAAUCGCCCGGCUCAACUGGGCGGGGUCAGCGGAUACGGCAGAGCUUGAGCAAGCUAGGGGGCAAUGGAAUUCCCGGUGUAGUGGUGGAAUGCGUAGAUAUCGUGAGGAACACCAGAGGCGAAGGCGGCUACCUGGACAAUUGCUGACGCUCAGGCACGAAAGCGUGGGGAGCAAAAGGG
rnacentral:rRNA from 1 species